UUCUUCAUCCCUUAUGGUUAUUUUUUUCUAUAAAUUUUUAAUUUUUUUCUUUUGUCUUUGUGUUCUGUAAUGACAUAGGCAUGAAUCUUAUUAAUAGAUAUAGAUUAAUAGAUAUAGAUUAUAUCUAGAUAUAUAUCUAAUCUAUAUAUAGAUAUAUUUACACACAUGUUUGUGUGUAUAUAUAUGCUAUAUAUAGAUAUAGAUGAUCUCUCUAUAUCUCUCUAUAUCUAUAUAGAGAAUAUAUAUAUAGAGAGAAUAUAUAUCUAUAUAGAGAAUAUAUAUUCUCUAUAUAGAUAUAUAUAGAAUAUAUAGAUAUAGAUUAUCUCUUUAUAUAGAUAGCUAUAUCUAUAUAUAUUCUAUAUAGAUAUCUAUAUAGAGAGAUAAUCUAUAUCUAUAGCAUAUAUAUACACAUAAACAUGUGUGUAAUAUAUAUCUAUAUCUAGAUUAGAUAUAUAUCUAGAUAUAAUCUAUAUUAAUCUAUAUCUAUAUAGAUAUAAUCUAUAUUAAUCUAUAUCUAUAUAGAUAUAAUCUAUAUCUAUUAAUAUAAAUUGUUUAACUUUUUUUUCUGUUUUCCAAAUUAUCUUCUGAGGCAGGUGUUGGUUUGCUCAUCAUGAUCUUUCUCUUCAUGGUACUGGUGUUUUUAAGAUGUCUGGCAUUCUUACACCAUGAGAUUUCAGAACAAGAGGCUGGAUGGAUUUUCCUGGGGUUGUUCUCUUCUGCUGUGAUACAUAUAGCUCUCUUUCCCUCUAGUCUGUCCCCAGUAUCAGAAGACUGACUGAGAUUAUGUGUGAAUUGUGUGUGUGGAGGUGAUGUGGGCAGAGGAUAGAGGGAAUGACAUGUGUGGGCGUGGUUUUGUCAUCUGAAGUUUAGACUUUAGGUUGAGAAGGGGAGGGGGCUUGGACUUUUAGCCUGGGUGCCUCCCAAGAGU
rnacentral:lncRNA from 1 species